rnacentral:lncRNA from 1 species
AGCACGAGUGUUCCUUUGCCUUCCAUUCCUUCCAUUCCAGAUGUCUUGGCCAGGAGCAGCCUUACAGCACUUGGCCUGGCAGCUGAUUUCUUUUUGUCUGGAGAAAGAUAAUAAGAGAUAAUGGAUGCUAAACACUGCAUUUAAUGUCCCAACAGGAAGAAGACUAAGGGAGGAGCCUGGUGAGCCUGACCUGGGACCACAGAGGAUCUCAGAGAACAUCCAGCACCGCUGGAACUGAGCACCCAGGGCAGUGAGAUGGACUCUUCCCCACCUCAUGGGGUUGUGUUUCCUGCUCCUGGCUGUUGCAGCUCCCUGUCCAACUUUCUCAGCAAAUGGGAGAGGUAGCAUCAGUCCUGAGGAGAAUAAAAUUUGCUGUGAAGCAGAAACAAUCCUACGCUGAAGUGCCACAUUGAAAUGUCAGAUGCAGAAACUGGAAAACCAACAACUGGCAUCCUUGGUAAUCCUGAAUUUCCCACCAGGAAUGAGGGCAUGAUCUCCCUCACAUUCCUACUGUGCAUUGUGGUUUGGGCAGGAAUGGUCUCUGUGUAUUCCUAUUGCUGGCAUUGGAUUAGUCAAGCUCUUAGGGAAUACAGACAAGCUUCAGAAGAAAAAAACCUCAACCAUGUUUGAAGACCAUCUACAAAUAGGAAGACCUCUAUGCCAGCAGCAUCUUCCUCUGUCCUGAUGUACAGCAACCAGCUGAAGCAACAGAGGUUGAUUUCCAUGAGACCUCAUGGUCCCAUAUUCACAAAUGGUCUUUUUUUCACAAAUGCACCUUCACCACAUCCACAUGUUCACCACGGACUGUGAUUGCCACAGUUGUCCAGCUCCAGGCCUUCAUGAGCAGCAUGAGCAGCACCCUGGAUCUCCCAUCCUCUGGUGGUGCUUGGCUGAGGACAGCAGCUAUCACAAGGUGUGUGGCUGACUCAGCAGCACAGCCUUAAACCUACUGAAUUGUCUCCAGCUGUGUACUCUGCUUUCUGGAGAUGUCUAUAGGCUUCGUCCUCAGCAAGUGCUUUGUGUUUUGCACUAUGCAUAGAUAGGCAAAUAUUUUUAUUCACAGAAAUAUGGAAUGGGUUGGGUUGGAAGAUCAUCUGACAAAAUAAAAAAAGGACUAAGAGUACUAAGAUGCCUAAC